rnacentral:rRNA from 1 species
AUGACUAGGGAUAACCUUAGGAAGAGACAUAUCAUCAAACCCCUUGAUUGUGUUUACUGCUUGGAACAAGAUUCUUGUUCUCACCUAUUUUUUGAAUGUAUAGUUGCUAAACAUCUCUGGGCCCACAUUGAGGAAUAUUUCUCUAGUCAGAUUGGCUCAUCCUUCGAAUCUGUCGCCAGAUUCUGGAUUGCAACCAAAAAGUGCUCAGUUUUAAACACUGUUAGCUCAGCUGUCCUUUGGUGCCUCUGGAAAUAUAGAAAUGCUAUGAUUUUUAGUAACACCUCCUGGAUUUCCAUUCCGCGGGUCUUGAGGUUGAUCAGGAACAUGGUGAGGAACUGGGCGAUUCUCUCCUCCGGAUUGGACACGGACAAGUUGAUGAGCUUCGUGGAAACCCUAACAAGAUCCCUCCAGAAACCGUUGGCGAUCACUUGUGGCUGA